rnacentral:rRNA from 1 species
AGGAAAUUCAUUCGCGUUUCGCUCGUCGAAGUUGGACGUUUGUAUGACGAAUAACGUUUCGGCGUAGUUCGCUUCUUAUGUUCUUCGAGUCGAUGGCGAACGCGUGCACUUUUCCUCUAGUAGGACGUUGCGAUCCGUUGGGUGUCUGUCUAAGACUCGGGUUGGAGCCCGCGUAAUUUUUAUUACGCGAACACUCGAUGUUCCGACAGACUCGCUCGACGGUAUACUAAUGGCGCGAGGCCGCUACUUCAGUUAGCGUUCGGCCCGUAGCAAGCGCGUUCCGUGUUUGACGGUGAUCGGACCUGGUGCCGAUUCUGUCCCGGAAUGACUGUUGGUUGCGGUGUUCUCGAACAGACCUCGAACGAAACGCCGAUCAGCAACGCUCUAGAUUUGGGUACUUUCAGGACCCGUCUUGAAACACGGACCAAGGAGUCUAGCAUGUGCGCAAGUCAUUGGGAUAUAACUAAACCUAAAGGCGUAAUGAAAGUAAAGGUUAACCUUGCGUUGACCGAGGGAGGAUGAGCGGUUUGCCGUUAAAAGUGGCCGCUUCGCACUCCCGGAGCGUCUCAUUCUCAUUGCGAGAA